rnacentral:rRNA from 1 species
UGGGGAAUUUUGGACAAUGGGCGAAAGCCUGAUCCAGCAACGCCGCGUGUGUGAAGAAGGCCUUCGGGUUGUAAAGCACUUUUGUCCGGAAAGAAAUCCUUGGCUCUAAUACAGUCGGGGGAUGACGGUACCGGAAGAAUAAGCACCGGCUAACUACGUGCCAGCAGCCGCGGUAAUACGUAGGGUGCAAGCGUUAAUCGGAAUUACUGGGCGUAAAGCGUGCGCAGGCGGUUUGCUAAGACCGAUGUGAAAUCCCCGGGCUCAACCUGGGAACUGCAUUGGUGACUGGCAGGCUAGAGUAUGGCAGAGGGGGGUAGAAUUCCACGUGUAGCAGUGAAAUGCGUAGAGAUGUGGAGGAAUACCGAUGGCGAAGGCAGCCCCCUGGGCCAAUACUGACGCUCAUGCACGAAAGCGUGGGGAGCAAACAGGAUUAGAUACCCUGGUAGUCCACGCCCUAAACGAUGUCAACUAGUUGUUGGGGAUUCAUUUCCUUAGUAACGUAGCUAACGCGUGAAGUUGACCGCCUGGGGAGUACGGUCGCAAGAUUAAAACUCAAAUGAAUUGACGGGGUCAUAGCUGUUUCCU